UAGGGAAUCUUCCGCAAUGGGCGAAAGCUUGACGGAGCAACGCCGCGUGAGUGAUGAAGGUCUUCGGAUCGUAAAACUCUGUUAUUAGGGAAGAACAAAUGUGUAAGUAACUAUGCACGUCUUGACGGUACCUAAUCAGAAAGCCACGGCUAACUACGUGCCAGCAGCCGCGGUAAUACGUAGGUGGCAAGCGUUAUCCGGAAUUAGUGGGCGUAAAGCGCGCGUAGGCGGUUAGAAAAGUCUGAAGUGAAAGGCAGUGGCUCAACCAUUGUAGGCUAUGGAAACUGUUUAACUUGAGUGCAGAAGGGGAGAGUGGAAUUCCAUGUGUAGCGGUGAAAUGCGUAGAUAUAUGGAGGAACACCGGUGGCGAAAGCGGCUAUCUGGUCUGUAACUGACGCUGAGGCUCGAAAGCGUGGGGAGCGAACAGG
rnacentral:rRNA from 1 species